rnacentral:rRNA from 1 species
GAACUUGAGAGUUUGAUCCUGGCUCAGAUUGAACGCUGGCGGCAUGCCUAACACAUGCAAGUCGAACGGCAGCAGCAGAGACAAUCCCUUCGGGGUGCGUCACUGGCUGGCGAGUGGCGAACGGGUGAGUAAUGCUUGGGAAUCUGCCCAGUGGUGGGGGACAACACGGGGAAACUCGUGCUAAUACCGCAUACGCCCUUCGGGGGAAAGCGGGGGACCUCUUCGGAGGCCUCGCGCCAUUGGAUGAGCCCAAGUCGGAUUAGCUUGUUGGUGGGGUAACGGCCUACCUAGGCGACGAUCCGUAGCUGGUCUGAGAGGACGAUCAGCCACACUGGGACUGAGACACGGCCCAGACUCCUACGGGAGGCAGCAGUGGGGAAUAUUGGAC